AUGUCGGCAUUAAACCCGGCUUCCUCAUCUGGUUCAAUCAACAAACCAAACCCUCCUUCAGAGGCUCCCAUCCCCCCUAAACCUUUCCCCCGACACUUGACGAGGUCGUCCUAUUCCCUGCAGAGCUCCAGCCCUCCACCUGAUUUGUCACGAGGCCAUUCUUCCUCCUGGGGGACCCGGAGCGUUCCCGAUCUCCCUGCUGCUCAACAACAGCACAGGCGGUUCGAAGAGAACACAGUGACAAACCAAAACCACCCAGGUUGGAGCCCUGCAUUCCCUUAUUCUAACUUUAAUCUUCAUACGCCUGUUCAGUAUCUUAACCCAAGUCCGAGUCACUCCCCAGCCCCCAUGAUGCUCAACCCUCCUCUACAGUACCCCUCCCCUCUUCAACCCUAUGCCAGUCUCCCUAAUCUCUGUCAAUACAACAGUCCCGCCGUUCUUAACAGUUCCAGUCUGUCCGCUUUACACCAGCCUGUAACUCCCACUGUCGACCAGCACAGCAGAAGUCUUUUGAAUUUGCACCAGCCCACAUCUUUCUCCACACCCCACCACAGCAGUCUUGGAAACCUCCAUUUUGGAUCUGCACUGCACCACCAGGGCUACAACCAUCUACACAACAAUCAGCCGUAUCACCAUUCAACACCUCAUGGUUCACAGUGUGCAUCACCCUACCUUGGUUAUCAUGGAUAUAACGCCUUUCCUCAGUCCUUCCCCCAGUGUGCACCACAGGCUCCGGAGCACAGCCUCUACCAGGGACUCACACCUCAUCCUCCAGGGUUCCUCACAGCUCCUGCCUCAUCCUUCAGCUCCUUUUCCAGUUUCCACUCAACCCACACUCCUCCAGCCAUGUCCAGCACUGAGAUGCAACUGAGGAAAGUCCUCCAUGAUAUCAAGGGAGCUGUCCAGAGUCUCGGGCAGAAUCGAACUGAGAUUCAGGAGCCUUCUUGUGACCACGGAGCAGCGCUGCCCAGCCACCAGGUACCACCACCCCAUCUGUUGGGCAUCUUUGGUGUUUAG
rnacentral:lncRNA from 1 species